GAUGAACGCUGGCGGCGUGCCUAAUACAUGCAAGUCGAGCGAACGGACGAGAAGCUUGCUUCUCUGAUGUUAGCGGCGGACGGGUGAGUAACACGUGGAUAACCUACCUAUAAGACUGGGAUAACUUCGGGAAACCGGAGCUAAUACCGGAUAAUAUUUUGAACCGCAUGGUUCAAAAGUGAAAGACGGUCUUGCUGUCACUUAUAGAUGGAUCCGCGCUGCAUUAGCUAGUUGGUAAGGUAACGGCUUACCAAGGCAACGAUGCAUAGCCGACCUGAGAGGGUGAUUGGCCACACUGGAACUGAGACACGGUCCAGACUCCUACGGGAGGCAGCAGUAGGGAAUCUUCCGCAAUGGGCGAAAGCCUGACGGAGCAACGCCGCGUGAGUGAUGAAGGUCUUCGGAUCGUAAAACUCUGUUAUUAGGGAAGAACAUAUGUGUAAGUAACUGUGCACAUCUUGACGGUACCUAAUCAGAAAGCCACGGCUAACUACGUGCCAGCAGCCGCGGUAAUACGUAGGUGGCAAGCGUUAUCCGGAAUUAUUGGGCGUAAAGCGCGCGUAGGCGGUUUUUUAGUCUGAUGUGAAAGCCCACGGCUCAACCGUGGAGGGUCAUUGGAAACUGGAAAACUUGAGUGCAGAAGAGGAAAGUGGAAUUCCAUGUGUAGCGGUGAAAUGCGCAGAGAUAUGGAGGAACACCAGUGGCGAAGGCGACUUUCUGGUCUGUAACUGACGCUGAUGUGCGAAAGCGUGGGGAUCAAACAGGAUUAGAUACCCUGGUAGUCCACGCCGUAAACGAUGAGUGCUAAGUGUUAGGGGGUUUCCGCCCCUUAGUGCUGCAGCUAACGCAUUAAGCACUCCGCCUGGGGAGUACGACCGCAAGGUUGAAACUCAAAGGAAUUGACGGGGACCCGCACAAGCGGUGGAGCAUGUGGUUUAAUUCGAAGCAACGCGAAGAACCUUACCAAAUCUUGACAUCCUUUGACAACUCUAGAGAUAGAGCCUUCCCCUUCGGGGGACAAAGUGACAGGUGGUGCAUGGUUGUCGUCAGCUCGUGUCGUGAGAUGUUGGGUUAAGUCCCGCAACGAGCGCAACCCUUAAGCUUAGUUGCCAUCAUUAAGUUGGGCACUCUAAGUUGACUGCCGGUGACAAACCGGAGGAAGGUGGGGAUGACGUCAAAUCAUCAUGCCCCUUAUGAUUUGGGCUACACACGUGCUACAAUGGACAAUACAAAGGGCAGCGAAACCGCGAGGUCAAGCAAAUCCCAUAAAGUUGUUCUCAGUUCGGAUUGUAGUCUGCAACUCGACUACAUGAAGCUGGAAUCGCUAGUAAUCGUAGAUCAGCAUGCUACGGUGAAUACGUUCCCGGGUCU
rnacentral:rRNA from 1 species